rnacentral:rRNA from 1 species
GACGAACGCUGGCGGCGUGCCUAAUACAUGCAAGUCGAACGCUUCUUUCCUCCCGAGUGCUUGCACUCCAUUGGAAAGAGGAGUGGCGGACGGGUGAGUAACACGUGGGUAACCUACCCAUCAGCGGGGGAUAACACCUGGAAACAGGUGCUAAUACCGCAUAACAGUUUAUGCCGCAUGGCAUAAGAGUGAAAGGCGCUUUCGGGUGUCGCUUAUGGAUGGACCCGCGGUGCAUUAGCUAGUUGGUGAGGUAACGGCUCACCAAGGCCACGAUGCAUAGCCGACCUGAGAGGGUGAUCGGCCACACUGGGACUGAGACACGGCCCAGACUCCUACGGGAGGCAGCAGUAGGGAAUCUUCGGCAAUGGACGAAAGUCUGACCGAGCAACGCCGCGUGAGUGAAGAAGGUUUUCGGAUCGUAAAACUCUGUUGUUAGAGAAGAACAAGGACGUUAGUAACUGAACGUCCCCUGACGGUAUCUAACCAGAAAGCCACGGCUAACUACGUG